UUUUUCAACUAUAAAAUAUAUAUGGUUCCUUUAAUGUUAUUAAAAGCAACAAAUGUUGAUUCUCAUUUUUUUGAAUUAAUGUUUGAUGCCUGAGAAAAAAGCAAACUUCCAAGAAGAAAUUAUUAAAAUCCGGUGAUGCUAGUUUGGUUGCUUAGAUUUCACAUAAGACUUCAAAUAAUUUCGCUCCCUCUUCACAUUCUUCUUCCUCUCACUUUCAGUUGUUUUAUAUAUCGUGUAUAUAAUCGAGGGGGUGUUUAUGGUGCGGGCCAACCCGUUGACUCGACCAGAAGCAUUUUGUUUAGGUUCUUUUAUAGUUUAGAUUGAACUCAAAUCAACCCAAAUAAACCUGAAGUGAACAUGUUUAUGAUUUCAAACCAGCAAACUCGGCCAGUUGCCUGAAGACUUUUAUGCAUGAAUCUAUAAGUGAUUCAAUUUAUUUCAAGUGCUAAAAUUUGAAAUUAUGCAAUUUAGUCUAAUUAGAGAAACCAUUAGAAAGGAUUUAGAGGUCAAUGAGUUGUACCCAAAUUUGGUGUAUGAUAGAACACUAUGGCGUCAUUUGAUCCAUGUAGCCGACCCCACUUAGUGGGAUAAGGCUUGAUUGUUGUUGUUUGGAAUUUUUUUAGAAUUUGGUCAAAAGUGAUACAGCCGGACCUGGGUACACCUCUAUUCUUAUUCUAACAUUUGCUUUCUGUUGCAAAAGAGUUUGAAGAACAAGGUUUACUUUGACAAGCUAUAUUAAUGAAGUAUUGAAUCUAUUAAAGUGCAAGGCUAAUGUACAUUGUAACCCAAUUCAAGUGGGUUUCAAUAUUCAAAUUCUACUUUAAUAAAGUAUACUAAUAAAGUAUACUAAUUAAACUCAUAAAAAUACCAUUAAAAGAAUAAUACAAUUAUUUUAUGCAUACAAUGAUGUGUUGCUACUAGAGCUGUCAAAACGGGCCGGCCCAUUUAGCCCAAAUAAAUAUAGGGCUUGGGCCUAAAAUAUUGAGCUCGAAUUUUAAUAGGGCUCUUUAGCCCGGCCCUUAAAAGCCCGGUACCCGUUAGGGCUAGCCCGAAUGGGCCGCGGGUAGCCCGUUAGCCCGCAUAACAAAAAAAAAUUCUAUAAAUUAUAUAUAUUUUUCAAAUAAUUAUUUACUUAGUUGAUUAUCAAAGUGAAAAACAAAAGUGAAAAUUCA
rnacentral:lncRNA from 1 species